UGUGCUUGUAAGUGAUCUCUUGUGGGGCUUCUCACGUCUGUGGUUGCAGGUUUUAGCCACAUCUGAGAGAAGGUGCUGCAGUGCUGAUGAGAGAAUAGACUCUGGCAGGCAAGUGUAUGGGAUGAUGCAUGUGAAGAGGUAACGACAAUCCUCAUAGCCUGGAGGUUGAAGUGGCCUAACAGGAACGCUCUGGGACCCAAGCCCUCCACAGAGAGCAGUCCCCACUGGAGCCCUCCUGCUGCUGAGCGUCCCACAUAGCACCAAGUGCCUCUCCUUGAGGAUCUCAGCUGAGCCCUGAGGCAUGCCUGUGGCAGCACACCUAUAAGCACUGAAAUUGAUCACUGGAAACAGAAAGGUUGUGAGAGCAGGAGAGAUGAAAACUGCUAAUUCUUCAAAUGCAAGUGAGGAGCUGUGAUAAAACCCAACUUUGUGCCUACACCAAUGUCAACCAGCAGACUGCCUACAGAAUGGGGCGCCUCACAGAGCACAACCUGCCAGAAGAACAGGUGUGUAGGUGUUUU
rnacentral:lncRNA from 1 species